GACGAACGCUGGCGGCGUGCUUAACACAUGCAAGUCGAACGGUAAGGCCCUUUGGGGUACACGAGUGGCGAACGGGUGAGUAACACGUGGGUGAUCUGCCCUGCACUUCGGGAUAAGCCUGGGAAACUGGGUCUAAUACCGGGUAGGACCACUGCCUGCAUGGGUGGUGGUGGAAAGCUUUUGCGGGGUGGGAUGGGCCCGCGGCCUAUCAGCUUGUUGGUGGGGUGAUGGCCUACCAAGGCGACGACGGGUAGCCGGCCUGUGAGGGUGACCGGCCACACUGGGUAUGGGAUACGGCCCAGACUCCGACGGGAGGCAGCAGUGGGGAAUAUUGCACAAUGGGCGCAAGCCUGAUGCAGCGACGCCGCGUGAGGGAUGACGGCCUUCGGGUUGUAAACCUCUUUCAGCACCGACGAAGCGCAAGUGACGGUAGGUGCAGAAGAGGGACCGGCCAACUACGUGCCAGCAGCCGCCGUAA
rnacentral:rRNA from 1 species